GUGGGGAAUCUUCCGCAAUGGACGAAAGUCUGACGGAGCAACGCCGCGUGAGUGAUGUAGGUCUUCGGAUUGUAAAGCUCUGUUAAUCGGGACGAAAGAGCCUAGUGUGAAUAAUGCUAGGAAGUGACGGUACCGGAAUAGAAAGCCACGGCUAACUACGUGCCAGCAGCCGCGGUAAUAAGUAGGUGGCAAGCGUUGUCCGGAAUUAUUGGGCGUAAAGCGCGCGCAGGCGGAUCUGCCAGUCUGUCUUAAAAGUUCGGGGCUUAACCCCGUGAUGGGAUGGAAACUACAGAUCUAGAGUAUCGGAGAGGAAAGUGGAAUUCCUAGUGUAGCGGUGAAAUGCGUAGAUAUUAGGAAGAACACCAGUGGCGAAGGCGACUUUCUGGACGAAAACUGACGCUGAGGCGCGAAAGCCAGGGGAGCGAACGGGAUUAGAAACCCGGGUAGUCC
rnacentral:rRNA from 1 species